rnacentral:rRNA from 1 species
UGGGGAAUAUUGGACAAUGGGGGAAACCCUGAUCCAGCAAUGCCGCGUGAGUGAAGAAGGCCUUAGGGUUGUAAAGCUCUUUCGCCCGCGAAGAUAAUGACGGUAGCGGGAGAAGAAGCCCCGGCUAACUCCGUGCCAGCAGCCGCGGUAAUACGGAGGGGGCUAGCGUUGUUCGGAAUUACUGGGCGUAAAGCGUACGUAGGCGGAUGCGCAAGUUGGGGGUGAAAUCCCGGGGCUUAACCUCGGAAUUGCCCUCAAAACUGCACGGCUUGAGACCGAGAGAGGGAAGGGGAAUUCCUAGUGUAGAGGUGAAAUUCGUAGAUAUUAGGAAGAACACCAGUGGCGAAGGCGCCUUACUGGCUCGGUACUGACGCUGAGGUACGAAAGCGUGGGGAGCAAACA